CUAAGCCGAGGCCGAAAGGCGUAGGUGAUGGACAACAGGUUGAUAUUCCUGUACCGCCAAUAAGCGUUUGAGAGAUGGAGUGACACAGUAGGAUAAGCUAACCGUACUGUUGGUUAUGUACGGCUAAGCAUUGAGGCAGUCUAAAUAGGCAAAUCCGUUUAGACAAUGCUAGGAUGUGAUGGGGAAGCCCUUCGGGGCGAAGUAGCUGAUUUCACACUGUCAAGAAAAGCUUCUAUCGAGUUUAAAGGCGCCCGUACCGUAAACCGACACAGGUGGGUGAGGAGAGUAUCCUAAGGCCAGCGAGAGAACUAUUGUUAAGGAACUCGGCAAAAUGACCCCGUAACUUAGGGAGAAGGGGUGCCUGUCUAUGACAGGCCGCAGAGAAUAGGCCCAAGCGACUGUUUACCAAAAACACAGGUUUCUGCUAAGUCGCAAGACGAUGUAUAGGAGCUGACGCCUGCCCGGUGCUGGAAGGUUAAGGGGAUCUGUUAGAGCAAUCGAAGCAGUGAACUUAAGCCCCAGUAAACGGCGGCCGUAACUAUAACGGUCCUAAGGUAGCGAAAUUCCUUGUCGGGUAAGUUCCGACCCGCACGAAAGGCGUAACGAUUUGGGCACUGUCUCAACAACAGACUGGGUGAAAUUGUAAUACCGGUGAAGAUGCCGGUUACCUGCGACAGGACGGAAAGACCCCAUGGAGCUUUACUGUAGCUUGACAUUGAGUCUCGGUGCUACAUGUACAGGAUAGGUGGGAGACUAUGAAGCAUGGACGUCAGUCUGUGUGGAGUCAUCCUUGGGAUACCACCCUUGUAGUACUGGGAUUCUAACCAGAGGCCAUGAAUCUGGUCUUGGGACACUGUCAGGUGGACAGUUUGACUGGGGCGGUCGCCUCCCAAAAAGUAACGGAGGCGCUCAAAGGUUCUCUCAGUACGGUCGGAAAUCGUACGAAGAGUGUAAAGGCAAAAGAGAGCUUGAUUGCAAGACAUACAGGUCGAGCAAGGACGAAAGUCGGACUUAGUGAUCCGGUGGUUCCGCAUGGAAGGGCCAUCGCUCAACGGAUAAAAGCUACCCUGGGGAUAACAGGCUGAUCUCCCCCAAGAGUCCACAUCGACGGGGAGGUUUGGCACCUCGAUGUCGGCUCAUCACAUCCUGGGGCUGUAGUAGGUCCCAAGGGUUGGGCUGUUCGCCCAUUAAAGUGGUACGCGAGCUGGGUUCAGAACGUCGUGAGACAGUUCGGUCCCUAUCCGUCGCAGGCGUAGGAAAUUUGAGAAGACCUGUCCUUAGUACGAGAGGACCGGGAUGGACGUACCUCUGGUGUACCAGUUGUUCUGCCAAGGGCAUGGCUGGGUAGCUAUGUACGGAAUGGAUAAGCGCUGAAAGCAUCUAAGCGCGAAGCCAACUUCAAGAUAAGAUUUCCCACCGUAAGGGUAAGACCCCAGGAAGACUACCUGGUUGAUAGGUCGAAGGUGUAAGUGCAGUAAUGUAUUUAGCUUAUCGAUACUAAUAGGUCGAGGACUUGACCAA
rnacentral:rRNA from 1 species